CCACUCUUUUAGGGCAUAUAGCUAGUACAAAAGUUAUCCUUUUAUUGGAUUAUUUUCCAAUUUGUUUUCAACAAAUACUACAUGAAAUUACUCAUUUACCACCUCUACAUUGAAAUUUCUUUGUAUGAGUACAAUUGUGAUUUCUCAUGAUUAUUUUAUUUAUUAUUAUUAUUAUUUUUUGAAUAAAAAUUUAUUUAUUUGUUAAUUUAAGGAUUUAUAUUAUUUAUUUUUUGAAUAUUUUUAAAUAACAUUGUUAUCCUUUAUUUCAGAGUGGGAUGGUUGAAGAACAAGAAGGUUGAGGGAAAUGUAGGAUAAAAAUUAUUUUCCUAAUCUGUUAAUUAUAUUGGUUACUAAAUAAUCUUUAUCUUCUCAUGAUUUUUAGGAGACAAAUUAUUUAGAUUUUUUUUUUUUUUGACAAAAUUUAGAUUUUUUGUUAUUCACUAUUUUUUAUAAGCUUUAAAUUUUUAUUCACUAUUUGUACGUUAGUCAGUAGUUCUCGUUGGAAAGUAGUUUAAUUUUUUAAAACUAAAUAUUUUUUUGCUAAUUCGAUAAAUUAAUCUCAUAUGUAUUAAGUAAGCUGCGAAAUAUUUUGAGUUAUCAUAAGAUCAUAAUUGCAGUGUGUUAAUAAAAUGCGUGUAAUUGUGUGACACCAUUUACAUAUUGUUGAAUUUCUAUGUACCAAAAAAAAAUAUUGUUGAAUUUCUUGCUUAUUUCUUAAGUAAUAAAAGUGUGACAAAGAUAAUUGAACAGAUACUAUUUUAAACUUUUUAACAUUUAUAAAUUUGCACAUAAUAAAGAAACUCUUUUUUAAUAUGCGAGUAUAAGGUUGAUUAUUGACAGGAGAAUACAAAAGAAUUCUUAAUAAAAAAAUCCCAACCUCUUAAAUAAAUUCUUUUUAUUUUACAAGAACCUCUUAAAUAAAUUUUUAUUGUACUUUUUUGACAAAAAACUUAUUGUACGUGUUACUUUUGACAGGAAAUAGUGGAUUCAAAUGAAUGAUUCACAAACAACUUCCUAGUGGCUAUAGUGGUACGGAACCAAAUUACUGCUACGCAUGUAGGCUUCUUAUCUUUCCUUUUCAUUCAUAUCUUUCAUAAUUUAGUCAAACAAAAGUUUAACAAUCGGUACAUUUAUUUAAUUGGACAACUUAAUUAGAUGCAUUAAUUUCUUAAGUAUUUUUUUAUUGCUCUAAAUUUAAAAUA
rnacentral:lncRNA from 1 species